UGCAUGGCCGCCUCCAUUUCACGCACACCCUCGGGCACACGCACACCCUCGGGCACACGCACACCCUCGGGCACACGCACACGCACAACGCACAACGCAGGACCUUGCCAUUGCGCAUCUUACCUUCCGGGCGUUUUCCUCUAGGGCACAUAUUUGUUUCGCCGCAUCGUUGGCGGUGGCUGCUGUUGCCAUCAGCCGGCAAAUGCCGUCGGCGCACAGGCAUCGUCGACCGAAGACGGCCAGCGUUACAGUCCCUGACAAGUCCAAGAAGCACGUGCGAGGCAUCGCAGACGAAUCCUCGACGGGGACCAAUGCUCGGGGUGCCGCUGCCGCUACAGGUGGCGGCAGCGCGAGCGUGGACUCGGAGAAAAGGUCGAAAGGCGUGCCGGCGCCGGCGGCGGUGCUCAUGCGGGCGCUCGGGCUGGCUGUUGAAGCAAGUGACGGCACUGGCGACAAGGGCGAGUGCAACUCGGCGUUGCUGACUAGCAGCCUAAGCUGCGACCCGUCUCGGAGCAUGGAGGUGGAGGUGGAGACAAGACAGGGGUACGUCUACACAGGCAAGCUGGUGCACAUUGAUGACCACUACAACGUUAUGCUGAACGAGGCGCUGGUGCGACGAGCCCGCAGUUUUGAUGUGGAGCGGGCGAUACUGCGUGAGAAGUCGCAGCAGGAGGCACGGCUCAUCGCAAGCAGUCUCCAAGGCAUGGUGACAGAGGAUGCAGACGUGAUGCAGAGCACUAGUGAGCUGAUGCCGCGACCUCGCUACAUCGGUGCCACGUACAUCCGAAGCAACAGCAUCUUCCUCAUGCGCUUCGUUGACGCGGCAGGCGGCACCGGCACAACAGCUGUUUCUGCGGCUUUUUCCAACUCCGCGUUGGGGCAGCUCAAGAGUGACUUUUCAAUGAUGGCUGCAUCGAUCAAGGCCCACUUGCAGCGGGAGAAGAUGCGCAAUCGGGCCGCGCGCCGCAAGCGCCUCGAGGCCAAGAAGUCGGCGGGAGGAGGCGGCGGCGGCCGGUAAAGGGUGCUCAGGGCAAAAGACGUGCUAAUCUGUCGAUGCCCAGGACACGAAUGACCUGGAAACAAAACUCACACAAGUGCCUAGAUACGCGACACAUUGUACGGGCCAUGCACUGGGGCGCUGAACACGCUGACCGGGGAGCCUGUCUGUGUGCUCUUCCGCUCUCUGAGUUCUCUGCGGCAUCUUCGUGUAGAGACGCCUGUUUAUGACAUGGGAGUCGCUUGACACGUUGUCGCGUCGAGGUUGUCCAGAGGAUGGCAAUCCCCCCGACACGCUUCGCUGGGCGAGGGGUGGCCCGUCGCCUCUGUUGAAAAGU
rnacentral:misc_RNA from 1 species